GUACCGACAGGGUUGGUUAGUUUUUGAGCACUUACUUCGGAUCUGUUGAAGUUUAACGAAGAAAACAAAAUAUUGUAAACGCAUUUUAUGAAAAUAUCUCAAUUGGUUUUUCGGUUUUUCAAAACAAAAUACCGUAUCCAAAUAAUCUAAACAAAAUAUUUAUAUGGCACAGCAACGAAUGCAAAGUCGAACAGAAACAAUAUUUUUUUUUAAAGGCGAUUGGAAAUGCACUUUGCCGACAACGAAACAAGCCACAAAAUUCUAGUCUGCCGUUCAUAUCAUACAAUUCGAUCGGUGAAGCACCGGUGUGUGUAAUGUGUGACUCAAAAGAAUGAGAUGUUGAGAACAUUUCUAUGACAACGUCACUUGUGGCAGAAC